rnacentral:rRNA from 1 species
GAUGAACGCUGGCGGCGUGCCUAAUACAUGCAAGUCGAGCGAACGGACGAGAAGCUUGCUUUUCUGAUGUUAGCGGCGGACGGGUGAGUAACACGUGGAUAACCUACCUAUAAGACUGGGAUAACUACGGGAAACCGGAGCCACUAACGGAUAAUAUUUUGAACCGCAUGGUUCAAAAGUGAUAGACGGUCUUGCUGUCACUUAUAGAUGGAUCCGCGCUGCAUUAGCUAGUUGGUAAGGUAACGCCUUACCAAGGCAACGAUGCAUAGCCGACCUGAGAGAGGGAUCGCCCACACUGGAACUGAGAAACGGUCCAGACUCCAACGGGAGGCAGCAGUGGGAAUUCUGCCGAAAGGGGCGAAAGCCUGACGGGGCAACGCCGCGUGGGUGAUGAAGGUCUUCGGAUCGUAAACCCCUGUUAUUAGGGAAGAACAUAUGUGUAAGUAACUGUGCACAUCUGGACGGUACCUAAUCAGAAAGCCACGGCUAACUACUG